GCAAUGGGCGCAAGCCUGACGAAGCAACGCCGCGUGGGGGAUGAAGGUCUUCGGGUUGUAAACCCCUUUCGACCGGGACGAAUAAGUCGCGGUUUAACACACCGGGGGAUUGACGGUACCGAUAAAGGAAGCCCCGGCUAACUCUGGGCCUGCACCCGCGGUAAUACAGAGGGGGUCAAGCGUUGUUCGGAAUUACUGGGCGUAAAGGGCGUGUAGGCGGCCUUAUAAGUCAGACGUGAAAUCCCCCGGCUUAACCUGGGAAAUGCGUCUGAUACUGGUGGGCUUGAGUGCGGGAGAGGGAUGUGGAAUUCCAGGUGUAGCGGUGAAAUGGGUAGAUAUCUGGAGGAACACCGGUGGCGAAGGCGGCAUCCUGGACCGACACUGACGCUGAGGCGCGAAAGCCAGGGGAGCAAACGGGAUUAGAUACCCCGGUAGUCCCCGCCCUAAACGAUGAAUGCUUGGUGUGGCGGGUAUCGAUCCCUGCCGUGCCGAAGCUAACGCAUUUAGACCUCCU
rnacentral:rRNA from 1 species